rnacentral:rRNA from 1 species
AAAGUGAAUAUAAAUGAGGUGGCUAAAGUCAGAUGCUGCAGACCCGAAGCCAAGUGAUCUAUCCAUGGCCAAGUUGAAGUAAGUGUAAUAGCUUAUGGAGGACUGAACUCGUGCCCAUUGAAACGGGCUGGGAUGAGCUGUGGAUAGGGGUGAAAGGCCAAACAAACUUGGUGAUAGCUGGUUCUCUUCGAAAUAUAUUUAGGUAUAGCCUCAAGUGAUAGUCAUAGGGGGUAGAGCUCUGAUUGGGCUAGGGCUGCUCACCGCGGUACCAACCCCUGUCAAACUACGAAUACCUAUGACCGUAUCUUGGGAGUCAGGCGGUGGGUGAUAAAAUCAAUCGUCAAAAGGGGAACAACCCAGACUACCAACUAAGGUCCCCAAGUUCUAUUCUAAGUGG